GAGUUUGUAACUGGAGCCGCAGGUGAAGGCUGCGGGAGGGAGGGUCUGCGAAGCGCUGCCAAGCCCACCGUGGUGUUUGCUGACUGCGGGCCAAGGAGUUUCCCGGUGGAUCCCUGGCCUCGCCGCACCCCGCCAGGGGGCGCCAGGACCUCACUUUACUUAGAAGGCUGGUACCCUCUGGCGCUCCCAGUCCUGGACCCGCGGCACGUCCACAAAACACUCAGACUGGCAGCCCAUACCACUCUUGUAAAUAUGAAAGAUGCUAAUCAUAUGACAUAUCACGUCUCCGUCGGAGCCGGAAUAAAGCCUUCAGAUUUGGGAUCAUUGCCUCCAGACAACAGCUUCAUCAGCCGGAAAGUUGGUUUUUUUUUCUCCUUUCCUUCAACUCUCAAUCCCUUCUUUGUCUGGAGGAAAAUGCAGCCGACUCGAGCCACCCAGGCCAUAUGGUUCACUCUGUAUUUUCUUAGUUGAAUUCUGAAUUGUUUCUGUGACUUGCGAAGUUUUUUUGGAAGUGCGUAUAAAGACAUAGAAGAGCUACUUGUGCAAGGAGCGCUGCCCGACGCGCCGCGGCCGCCCCCUCCCGGCCGGGAGACCCAGCCCUAGCUCCUCCGCCCAGGGUAAUAUCAGCAAUCGCAUUAUCACAAGGUUAUGACUGACAACCGAGGAGGGCACAGCAGUGUGGUUCGCUGGAAGCGAGUACUGUGAGCCUGGCAAGGCCCCUCGCACCUAGUAGGUGCUUGAGAAAUACUGGGCGGGGUGGAAGGGGAUUCAAGAAAUAACUCGACCUUGGAUCGACCUUGAGUGCUCUGCAUUCUAAAGGACCUGUGGAUCCCUUGGGGCAGGUGUGUGUGUGUGUGGGGGGGACUGCAUCCUUGCCCUCCUCCUGUCUCACUGUAUUGAAUUACAUUCUUUUAUUGUCUACAUAACACUUCGUUUUCUGGUGUACAUAACUUGUUUUUUUCAGUCGAUUUAUUGGAAUGUAAGCUGUAUGCGGGUAGUAAUCGCGCCUGUGUUGUGUGCAGUGUUUCCGGGGUUGGUACAAUACUUGGCACGCACUGGGUGCUCCUUUAAGGGCAGGAAGGAGGGAUGAGUCAAAGAAUAAGAUAAAGUCAUAAACUGAUAUUUCAUUCCUGAAAGGUAUAGACUAAGAAAGUUUCUCUGUUAAAGAUUCGAAUUUACCUCAAUCUCAGCCCUUUGACGUAUCAGUGAGAAAC
rnacentral:lncRNA from 1 species